CAGUCGUACCGAUGGGCAUUCAGCCUCAUGAGUGCGAUUACGUCGGGUGUUGGGGAGCCUAAUCGCCCUCGCGCUUGGGUAUUUGUGCUCUACGGGUGUACUUGUCCGUAUGGUAGGUUAACAUCAAUUUUGGUCGUCAUAAAAUGACGGGAGGAAUGUGGCUUCGAUCUCGCAUUGAAGUGUUUAUAGCCUCUGGUAGAUGUGAUGACCGGGAUUGAGGAUUGCAACGAACCCUUCGGGGCCACCUGUCUGGCCUCUGGUGGUCGCUCUGGUGCCGAAAGCUUGCUUAUGGUUAUCAGAGUUGGUUGCCAAAAGGUUAGAACGGGCUGAU
rnacentral:rRNA from 1 species